rnacentral:rRNA from 1 species
UACGGAGGGGGCUAGCGUUGUUCGGAAUUACUGGGCGUAAAGCGCACGUAGGCGGCUUUGCAAGUCAGAGGUGAAAGCCCGGGGCUCAACCCCGGAAUUGCCUUUGAGACUGCAUCGCUAGAAUUGUGGAGAGGUAAGUGGAAUUCCGAGUGUAGAGGUGAAAUUCGUAGAUAUUCGGAAGAACACCAGUGGCGAAGGCGACUUACUGGACACAUAUUGACGCUGAGGAGCGAAAGCGUGGGGAGCAAACAGG